UACGUAGGGGGCUAGCGUUGUCCGGAAUCAUUGGGCGUAAAGAGCGUGUAGGCGGUCCGGUAAGUCCGCUGUGAAAGUCGGGGGGCUCAACCCUCGAAUGCCGGUGGAUACUGGCUCGCUAGAGUGCGGUAGAGGAGAGUGGAAUUCCCGGUGUAGCAGUGAAAUGCGUAGAGAUCGGGGAGGAACAUCAGUUGCGAAGGCGGCUCUCUGGACCAGCACUGACACUGAGGCACGAAAGCGUGGGGAGCAAACAGG
rnacentral:rRNA from 1 species